UGGUUUUCUGUCAACAAAAUUAAAAAAAUAAAAUAAAAAAAAAGACGUGGAGGGUUGCAUUUAACCGUUACUCUUCACGGGUAAAAUAAAUUAUCAGGUCACUACUUUCACUGAAUUAGUGUUUGUUAUGAUAUAAU